AUUGAACGCUGGCGGCAUGCUUUACACAUGCAAGUCGAACGGCAGCACGGGUGCUUGCACCUGGUGGCGAGUGGGGAACGGGUGAGUAAUGCAUCGGAACGUGCCCAUGAGUGGGGGAUAGCCCGGCAAAAGCCGGAUUAAUACCGCAUACGCCCUUAGGGGGAAAGGCGGGGGAGUCUUCGGACCUCGCGCUAUUGGAGCGGCCGAUGUCGGAUUAGCUAGUAGGUGAGGUAAAGGCUCACCUAGGCGACGAUCCGUAGCUGGUCUGAGAGGAUGAUCAGCCACACUGGGACUGAGACACGGCCCAGACUCCUACGGGAGGCAGCAGUGGGGAAUUUUGGACAAUGGGCGCAAGCCUGAUCCAGCCAUGCCGCGUGAGUGAAGAAGGCCCUCGGGUUGUAAAGCUCUUUCAGGUGGAAAGAAAUAGCGCUGUUUAAUAGAUGGCGUUGAUGACGGUACCACCAGAAGAAGCACCGGCUAACUACG
rnacentral:rRNA from 1 species